GACGAACGCUGGCGGCGUGCCUAACACAUGCAAGUCGAACGGGACUUAAUGGAAUGCGGCUUCGGCCAAAGGAAGUUAAGUUUAGUGGCGAACGGGUGAGUAACGCGUGAGGAACCUGCCUUUCAGUGGGGGACAACAGUUGGAAACGACUGCUAAUACCGCAUAACGUAUCGGGAUCGCAUGAUCCUGAUACCAAAGAUUUAUCGCUGAAAGAUGGGCUCGCGUACGAUUAGAUAGUUGGUGAGGUAACGGCUCACCAAGUCGACGAUCGUUAGCCGGACUGAGAGGUUGAACGGCCACACUGGGACUGAGACACGGCCCAGACUCCUACGGGAGGCAGCAGUGAGGAAUAUUGGGCAAUGGGGGAAACCCUGACCCAGCAACGCCGCGUGAAGGAAGAAGGCUUUCGGGUUGUAAACUCUUUUACCAGGGACGAAGAACGUGACGGUACCUGGAGAAAAGCAACGGCUAACUACGUG
rnacentral:rRNA from 1 species